CCUGUUGCUGCACCUGUCUUUGAGUGUUAAUGUCAAGUUCAAGUGUGGUGUGCCUGGAACUAUAAAUGCUAAAGGUUAAACCAAAAAAUACACAGGAAGGAAAGAAAUCAGCAUCUUCCUCCAGUGGUCUUAUUUUCCUCAGAGAGGUAAAGCAACUCUGAGUACAGGUUGCAGUUUGCUUCUCUCCGGAUUGCAAAGCAGACUCGCUCCUGUACUUGAGGCUGCAGAAUGAACGCCGGGGUUUGAGUCUGGACUUGACACCGCCAAACCUUUGGCCUCGGUUGAUCAUUCACCAAAGCAAGAUGCUGAGAUAAAAGCUAGUGCACGAAGGGGAACCACCCAUUAUAUUUGUACAUGGCUGGGUAGUUUCCUGUCCAUGACCUCAGAAGCUUGCAAAAAGAAUCCAUUGGAGUAGAUCGUCUUUGUUUAUUCAAGUAUAAAAUACACACAGGAGAAAAAGACUCUAAUAGAUCACCUCAGUGAAUUUUCUCACUGUGAGCAUCUCCAUGUAAUGAACAACCAAAUAAAGAAUUGGAACUUGACGACCACCCAAGAAGCCCUCCUUCUCCCAUCCAGUCUCUACUUCUCAGCCUCCAGAGAAUUGUCCCAGAAUGCACUGCAGAGCAACCAGCAAUCCUACCCCUGCCCACUAAAUGCUGGUAGGGGCCUCAAGUGUUGUCUGUCAAAACAUUCUCAUGCAUUUCCAGAACAGAUGCGGUGGGCAGUACUGCACCCCGAGAGUCACGCAUCUACAGAGGGAGGGUGUACUACUACACACCUGAGUGUUUGUCACAACAAAAUGAAGUAACCUAAAAGGCUCUGCAUUGUAACUGUGAUAGACUAGGUGCCAAUAUGUGUAAAUUUACUUCAUCUCUGCUUCUUCUGGUCAUAGGUUCUUAACCUAACCAAUAGGGAACAUCUGUCAUUACCCCUGGCAACAGCAUGACAGUUACACAGAUGGGCUACGGAAUUAUUAAAAACUACAGAGCAAUUUGACUGAAGAGAGCUACACUUACUUUUUAGUGUAGUGUAACUCUGUUCCUUCCUGCUGCAGGGAAAACUUUCAAGACUACGAGAAUUCAGGUCAGGCCGGGGAAUUAUUUCUGGAAAAGGAUAAGCCAUACAAGUGCAGGACCCUGGUGCUCCACUCUGAGUGCUGGGCCAUGCCUGGCUUUGGGCAACUGCAGACAGGGAUGGUGGGUUCCAACGUCAGGCUCCUGACGACCCUGCAUUAGAUUCCCACUCCAGGCUCUUUGUCCAGGCUGCACCUUUUGUUCAAUAUAUUUUCUCUCCCUCAAUUCCCACUUUUUAUAGCGUUGGUCUUCUCUUCCUUGUUUUUCAAGUUGCAGGAUAAUACUACCUCCUCCAAGAGUAUCCUUGCAUGCCCCAGCAGCACAGAUUAUCAUUCAUUCUUCUACAUGUCCACCAGCCGUGUGCUUCCUUCUCUCACAGUAUUUCCCAUGUUGUGUGCUUUUCUGCUUGACUGACUCCCUAGGUGCCCCACAAGAACUGUCUCUCAUGUAUCUUUACAUUGCUGACAACUAGCUUUGUCCCUGGCACACAGCAGGUGCCUAGCAAAAGUUUACCUAGCUCUGUCCCAGCUUUGGACCCUAGAAUACACACAAGAUACAGUCAGUGUCACAAAGGUUCACACCAUUAAGCAGGCACGUAUUUAGGACUUCAUUUUUAAAGACAGGAGAUCUGUGGUCCAACGGACAGUUUAUUUAAAACAAAGGUUGACAAGGUGUAGGAAGAAAGAGGAGGGAGAACAACAAAUCUAACAUAAAAGUAUAUAGGAAGCAUCUCAAAUUUUUUAAAAAAAGAAAAUAAAAGGCAACAGAGGAGCCUAUGUCUCAUACAUAUACAAACUGCUGACCUCAAAUGAUUAUUUACAUCCAAACCUUACAAAAUAGCAUCUCGUCAGCACUUAAGCCAGUGUUAUUAGUUUCUGUUACAAAAAAAUUAAAGCUACAAACUUCACAUUUUAAAUUGUACAUUAACAACAGCAUUUAA